GGAGGUUUUUAACUCCUAGUCUUGAAAAAAGGGACCAGCGGCUAGCCCCAGCCCCAUUCCCAUUGUCGCUGCUUCUCCAUCCCAAAAAUUCUAGCGACCCCCUUAACCUCCAAGACUGAGCCGCUCAAACAGCCACAAAUCCAACUCAAUAGUCAAAAAAAAAUGGACUUUGCCUGAGGAAUGGAGUUUUGGUAGUAUUCGAAUUCGAGCUCUCGUGUGUCGUUCGAGGUUGAAGGGUCGCGAUUAUUGUCCCUAAUUUCAUAGCUUGUUUUUUUCGAUCCAAUUUCAUCGCCGGAUUGCGCACACAGUCAGGCCGAGCGUGUCUUUGUACUCACUAAUCUUACUCGUUUUUUUUAUAAAAAAAAAGAGCACAUCUCAGGUUCAUUUCUUGACUUCCUUCUCUCUUAUUUUGGAAACCUCAUAUGCUUGUGAAUUUUUAAUCGCACUGAAUAUAUUAAUUGAUGUGUUUGAGUCUUAGCCUGACUAUAUGUUAUAUAUGCUUCUUGUGUUAUGCGUGCUUAAACUCAAAUGUUCUUGGUCGAAAAUUACAGUAAUUGGCAUGUCUUCUUUGCUCAAUUGGUUCUGUUCGUUAUUGACUUCUUCCCUUAAUGUAGUCCAAUUAAUUUGAACUGCAAAUCAAUAGUGUGACGUUGUGUUUGGAUUUAGAAGAAACGGAGUCAAAGUUUCAUAUUCAUUGUCCUACUUUAUUACUCUAAUUAAGUAUUUGGCAGAAGUAAACAAUUUCAAAUGUUGGUUUUCGAUUCAUUUGGUUGGUUGGAGAUUCUUGGUUUGAAAUCAAUUCAUAGAACUAUAAUUGGAAGACAAGGAUAACUAUUUUAAGUGGCUCCUGUUACAAUUUGAUUCACUCUUCGCCUUCUUAUAUUUGGACUGCUGAAACUUUUAUCUUUUUAUAUUCUUAAUGAAACACGUGAAUUUAGGUGCCAUAAUUGUUUGGUUUAAUUUGCUUCAAAUGGGACAUGGGGGUUGGGAUUCGGUAAACUUAAAAGAACUUGAAUAUUAUAUAAACAUGGAUCAAUCAAAUUCAUAUAUGGCUUGGGUUUGGCUAUAAAGCACUACAUUUUAUUUUUACUGUCACAUUAUUUUUGUUUGUUACUUCAUUUUGCUUUGUAUUGUUUAAACCCGUUAGGAGUAUACUUUAGGCCGACCACACUCGGGUAGGCAAGCCUUAGGAUUUUGUUAGUUUUAAGGCGGGAGGUCGUUCCUUUAGUUAAUUCAUCGGGGGAAUGCCCCAUAGAGUUUGUUUAUAUAUUUUUGUGUUCUUUUAUCAGGGGUAUGUCCCUAAGUGAAUGUAAUUGAAGGCCGUGAUAGACAUGGUAGAGUGAACAUAGUAUAGGCUAUUAUUAUUUUCUUGUUUUGUUUAAUCUAGGUGGGGACGACCUCGAGCCUCUUGUGUGUUUAUUUUUCUUUUUCUGUAUUUUUCGCCUCAAUUCGAAUAUUUUAGAAGCCAACUUGAUCGAGUAUGCAACCGUACUAAUUACGGGACUUGGGGAGUGCCUAACACCUUCUCCCCGAGUCAAAUAAACCCCCUUACCCGAAUCUCUGGUGUAGACUUAGUUUUAGAGUCUGAAAUAUUUUAAAAGGAAAAGUCAUUUUAAAAGAAAAACGGUGACCUGACACACCGAAAUCAAAGUCAGGUGGCGACUCUGAGUUAUUUCCUUUUGAACACAAUUUUGUCACUUUCUAAUUGAAAUUUUUUUUCGAGCUUUACUAAAUCUUUUUAUUCUAUUUAAGAGGAUUAGUGAGGUUUGUAAAAAAGGGGUGUGACACCUAUGAGUGGUACUUUAGUCAGCUUUGCAAUGCAAUAGGGAGCCGUGAGAAUUUAAUUUUUUUAUCAGACAGGCAUCAAGCUAUUGCAUAUGGCAUUGCAAAGGUAUAUCCGGAAAGCCAUCAUGGGAUUUGCAUCUAUCAUUUGGAGCAGAACCUAAAGCAAAGGAAGGUGAAAAGUGAGGUCAUAAAACUUUUUCAAAGUGCUGCAAGAGUAUACAGGCGCAAAGAAUUUGAUCUAUACAUGUCAGAUAUAGCAAAAGUAGAUAAGAAGACUUAUGACUACUUGAUGGAAGAACCACCGGAAAGGUGGGCACGUUCUUGUAGUCCACGACAAAGAUAUGAUAUGCUCACAACAAACAUAAUUGAGUCAAUGAAUUCUGUCCUUUUAGAAGCAAGGGAGCUGCCUAUAUUAAAAAUGAUGGAUUUCAUUCAAGUGAAGCUACAACGUUGGUUUUAUGAAAGAAGAAAUGAAGCAGAAGUAACUUUUUAUGAUGUUUCUUGUUGGGUAGAGGAUAAAUUGAAGAAAAAAAUAGAUUUAGUAUUUACGUUGAAUGUCUUCCCUGUUGAUUCAUGGUGUUCUUGAGUUGAAGAAGAAGGAAUAACUUUCUCGGUGGACUUAAACAAAAGAACAUGUGAUUGUUUUCAGUUUCAAUUUGAUGAAUUACCAUGCAUACAUGCAAUUGCAGCUAUCGAGAAGAGAAACAUCAAGAAGUCCAACUUUUGUUCGCACUGGUACUUAAAAGAAUCUUGGCUGAAAACAUAUGAAAGACAAAUACAUCCUGUAGGACAUACUGAUUCUUGGAUUGUACUAGAGAGUAUUAAGUCACAAAUUUUUAAACCUCCAGAUUUCAAAGUGCCACCAGGUAUAAAGCAGAAGAAAAGGCAUAUUCCAGCUACCGAAUCAUCAAAAAUAACAUUCAAAUGUGGUCGUUGCAGAAGAAUUGGUCAUAAUAGAACAGCUUGUAUAUAUUCUCCCGCAGUCCAUCCAUUUUCAAGAAAGCAUAGAGAAUAAUAGAUAUAUCCACUUAUGUUUAUUGACUCUUUUAAGUUUUUGCUAUAAAUUGGAUUCAUUUAGAUUA